AUCAAUAAGCGGAGGAAAAGAAACUAACAAGGAUUCCCCCAGUAACGGCGAGUGAAGAGGGAAGAGCUCACAGUUUGAACCUGUUUGACCUAGUCAAACCGGAUUGUAAACUGUAAAGACAUUGUCCAGGCAAGCCGGGUAAAUAAGUCCUUUGGAAUAAGGCAUCAUGGAGGGUGAAAAUCCCGUUUUUGGCCUGAGCAUUUGCCUUUUGUGACAAGUCUUUCAAGAGUCAGGUUGUUUGGGAAUGCAGCCUAAAUUGGGUGGUAAAUCCCAUCUAAAGCUAAAUAUUGGCGAGAGACCGAUAGCGAACAAGUACCGUGAGGGAAAGAUGAAAAGCACUUUGAAAAGAGAGUUAAAAAGUAUGUGAAAUUGCUGAAAGGGAAGCGUUUGGGAUCAGAACGGCUGUACCAGUCAUCAGUCUCGGUUUCGACUGGGAUGCACUGUCUGGGACAUUUGCCAGCCAACAACAGUUGGUCUGGGUGGAGAAAACUGUGGGGAAGGUAGCCCCUUCGGGGUGAUUAUAGACCUGCGGAAAAUACACUCGGAUCGACUGAGGAGCGCAGUGGAUGCCUUUAGGCAAGAUCUUUCAAAGGGCAUAGCCUCUAUUUGACUGCAUCUUUAUCCACUUAGGUUGUUGGCCUAAUGGUUUCAAACGAC
rnacentral:rRNA from 1 species